GAUGAACGCUGGCGGCGUGCUUAACACAUGCAAGUCGAACGAUGAAGCCCAGCUUGCUGGGUGGAUUAGUGGCGAACGGGUGAGUAACACGUGAGUAACCUGCCCUUAACUCUGGGAUAAGCCUGGGAAACUGGGUCUAAUACCGGAUAGGAGCGCCUACCGCAUGGUGGGUGCUGGAAAGAUUUAUCGGUUUUGGAUGGACUCGCGGCCUAUCAGCUUGUUGGUGAGGUAAUGGCUCACCAAGGCGACGACGGGUAGCCGGCCUGAGAGGGUGACCGGCCACACUGGGACUGAGACACGGCCCAGACUCCUACGGGAGGCAGCAGUGGGGAAUAUUGCACAAUGGGCGAAAGCCUGAUGCAGCGACGCCGCGUGAGGGAUGACGGCCUUCGGGUUGUAAACCUCUUUCAGUAGGGAAGAAGCGAAAGUGACGGUACCUGCAGAAGAAGCACCGGCUAACUACGUG
rnacentral:rRNA from 1 species